GCACCUUGCUAUGCUUUUAAUAAAAUAGGUGUUACAAUACAUAGAAGAUUAGCAUGGCCCUUGUGCAAGGAUGACACACACAAAUCGAGAAAUGGUCCAAAUUUUU